rnacentral:rRNA from 1 species
GACGAACGCUGGCGGCGUGCUUAACACAUGCAAGUCGUACGGUAAGGCCCUUUCGGGGGUACACGAGUGGCGAACGGGUGAGUAACACGUGAGUAACCUGCCCACAACUUUGGGAUAACGCUAGGAAACUGGUGCUAAUACUGGAUAUGUGCUCCUGCUGCAUGGUGGGGGUUGGAAAGCUCCGGCGGUUGUGGAUGGACUCGCGGCCUAUCAGCUUGUUGGUGGGGUAGUGGCCUACCAAGGCGGCGACGGGUAGCCGGCCUGAGAGGGUGACCGGCCACAAUGGGACUGAGAUACGGCCCAGACUCCUAAGGGAGGCAGCAGGGGGGAAGAUUGCACAAUGGGCGCAAGCCUGAUGCAGCGACGCCGCGUGCGGGAUGACGGCAUUCGGGUUGUAAAAGGCUAUCGGCAGGGACGAAGCGUUUUGUGACGGGACCUGAAGAAGAAGCACCGGCUAACUACGUG